UUUUGAUUGGUCGUUGUAGGUGGUUGCGCGCGCAUUUCGAGUCACGUUUCGUGCGAGCACCCGCGAGUUCAGUAGCCGCCGUGCGGCCGCGUGUAUUCGUUCGCAAUUUUUCGGUUAGUAGUAGAAGUUAUUCUUCUUCUUCUUCUUCUUCAUCAUCAUCUUCUUCUUCGUGUGUUAUACUGAAGAAGAAAAAGAAGAAUUGGAAGCAGGAAGAAAAGAAGAAACACACAGUGUAUGAUAAAGCUCGGAAAUUGUCGUAUUCUCCGACAAGUGUUACGAGGACGAAAGAAGUCUUAUCUUUUAACAUUCGUCCAGUUACAAAGGAAGAUAUUUUUUUUUUUCUUUUUCUUUUCCAUUUUUUUUCUAUUUUUUUCCUUCGUUAAUUUUCUCAGUAAGAAAAAGGACAUUAGUCGUCGUCGUCGUUGGACAAUUUUUUUUUUGUUAUACAUUGCAUCGUGCUUUGAGAAAGCCCGAGGAUAUCAUCCCUUGUUGUUCCGGAUUUAAUUCCAUCAUCAAUAUGGAUGCGCAAACUGAGUUAACCAUGGAAAAUGGAAUACAACGGAGCAAUUAAAUAUCCCAUAGAAAAGACGAUUUCAAUAUACGAUGUCAAUGAACGCUACGGCAG